UACGAACCGUGAAAGCGUGG
rnacentral:snRNA from 1 species